rnacentral:rRNA from 1 species
CUUCCGCAGCAGCAGUAGGGAAUAUUCCACAAUGAGCGAAAGCUUGAUGGAGCGACACAGCGUGCACGAUGAAGGUCUUCGGAUUGUAAAGUGCUGUUAUAAGGGAAGAACAUUUGCAAUAGGAAAUGAUUGCAGACUGACGGUACCUUGUCAGAAAGCGAUGGCUAACUAUGUGCCAGCAGCCGCGGUAAUACAUAGGUCGCAAGCGUUAUCCGGAAUUAUUGGGCGUAAAGCGUUCGUAGGCUGUUUGUUAAGUCUGGAGUUAAAUCCCGGGGCUCAACCCCGGCUCGCUUUGGAUACUAGCAAACUAGAGUUAGAUAGAGGUAAGCGGAAUUCCAUGUGAAGCGGUGAAAUGCGUAGAUAUAUGGAAGAACACCAAAGGCGAAGGCAGCUUACUGGGUCUAUACUGACGCUGAGGGACGAAAGCGUGGGGAGCAAACAGGAUUAGAUACCCUGGUAGUCCACGCCGUAAACGAUGAUCAUUAGUCGGUGGAGAAUCACUGACGCAGCUAACGCAUUAAAUGAUCCGCCUGAGUAGUAUGCUCGCAAGAGUGAAACUUAAAGGAAUUGACGGGGACCCGCACAAGCGGUGGAGCAUGUGGUUUAAUUUGAAGAUACACGGAAAACCUUACCCACUCUUGACAUCCUUCGCAAAGCUAUAGAGAUAUAGUGGAGGUUAACAGAGUGACGAA